rnacentral:tRNA from 1 species
GUUAAUAUAGUUUCAAUAAAACAUUAGAUUGUGGAUCUAAAAAUAGAAGUUAAAACCUUCUUAUUAACC